GAUUGUCCAUAGAGAGCACCAUGUUCAAGCGUAAGGGUGUCCACACGUGCACUUGGCACCAGGACACCCCAGGUCGCAGUUGGAUGAUCGACUUUGUGGUCGUGUCAUCGGACUUGCGGCCGCAUGCCUUAGACGCUUGGGUGAAGAGAGGGGCGGAGCUGUCACCUGAUCACCACUUGGUGGUGAGUUGGCUGCGAUGGUCGGGGAAGAUGCCGGUCCAACAUGGCAGGCCCAAACAUAUUGUCUGCUGGGAACGUCUGGCUGAAUCCCCUGUCAGCUGAGUUUCAACUCCCACCUCUGACAGAACUUUGCUCACGUUCCGGGGGAUGCGGGGGACAUAGAGUCCGAGUGGACCAUGUUUCGCACCUCUAUUGGUGAGGCGGCCGACCAGAGCCGUGGCUGUAAGGUGGUCGAUGCCUAUCGUGGCGGCAAUCCACAAACCCGUUGGUGGACACCAACUGUGAGGGAUGCUGUCAAACUGAAGAAGGAGUCCUAUUGGGCUUUUUUGCCUGUGGGACUCCUGAGGCAGCUGAUGGGUACCGGCUGUCCAAGCGGAAUGCAGCUUCCGUGGUCGCUGAAGCAAAAACUCGGGCAUGGGAGGAGUUCGGUGAGGCCAUGGAAAAAGACUUCUGGACGCUUGGAGGAAAUUCUGGUCCACCAUCCGGCGUCUCAGGAGGGGGAAGCAGUGCACCAUCAACACUGUAUAGUGGGGAUGAGGCGAUGCUGACCUCGACUCCGAAUGUUGUGAGUCAGUGGGGAGAAUACUUCGAAGAGCUCCUCAAUGCCACCGGCACGCCUUCCCAUGAGGAAGCAGUGUCUGGUUUCUGUGAGGCGGGCUCUCCUAUCUCUGGGGUUAAGGUCACCGCGGUGGUUAAAAAGCUCCUCGGUGUCAAGCCCCCGGGGGUGGAUGAGAUUUGCCCGGAGUUCCUCAAGGCUCUGGAUGUUGUGGGGCUGUCCUGGUUGACACACCUCUGCAACAUCGCAUGGACAUUGGGGACAGUGCCUCUGGAUUGGCAGACUGGGGUGGUGGUCCCCCUUUUUAAGGGAUACGGGAUUUUCGUUCCCUGUACGACCUGUGUCGUAGAAUGGAACGAGAAAUCGACAGGUGGAUCGGUGCAGCGUCUGCACUGAUGCAGACUUUGUAUCGGACUGUUGUGGUGAAGAAGGAGCUAAGCCGAAAGGCGAAGUUCUUGAUUUACCGGUUGAUCUACGUUCCCACACUCACCUAUGGUCACGAGCUGUGGGUCGUGACCGAAAGAACAAGAUCCCGGAUACGAGCGGCCGAAAUGAGUUUCCUCCGCAGAGUGUCCGGGCUCUCCCUUAGAGAUAGGGCGAGAAGCUCGGUCAUCCGGGAGGAUCUCAGAGUAGAGCCGCUGCUCCUCCACAUCGAGAGGAGCCAGAUGAGGUGGCCGGGGCAUCUGAUUCGGAUGACUCCCGGACGCCUCCCCGGUGAAGUGUUCCGGGGACGACCCGGGACACACCGGAGAGACUACGUCCUUCGGGUGGCCUGGGAACGCCUCAGGAUCCCCCCGGAUGAGCUGGAUGAAGUGGCUGGGGAGAGGGAAGUCCGGGCGUCCCUGCUAAAGCUACUGCCCCCGUGACCCGACCUCGGAUAAGCGGUAGAAAAUAGAUGGAUGAUGGAUGGAUGCUCCAUUGUCUUCAGGAUCCUGUGGAAUGUAAACAUGCAUACGCAUUGUUGUCAUCUUUCAGUAAAAUUUUGGAGAAAUGUAUUUUAUUGUGUUGAAUUUGAACUUGAACGUCUCACGCAGGCUAAAGAUUUGCUCGUAAUGAAUGGUCUCUUUUUUGAUUAGUUUUUUGUUGGCUCGUGUCAUUUAUAAUUUGUUGGUUGUUUUGCUUAUCGUAAUGACUUUGAUGGACUUAAGCGUAACGCAGGCUAGUGAUUUGCCGGAAUUCCAGGAAAAUGUUUCUUGUUGAUCACAUUUUCUUUUGUAUUUUUCACGAGAAUGUAAAAAUAACCCCCCUGUAGUUGCCGUUUAACGGAGCAAGAACCAGACAUUGCUAGCAGUUAAAAAAAAAAAAAUCGUCGUUUGCCAAGAUGGCGUUGAUGCACUUUUUCUUCUUUUUUUUUUUUUUUCUGCAGAUGCUGCAGGUUGUCUGUCACUACCCCUGCCCUCCCCCGAGACGAACACAUUAGCCCCUUGCUGACUAAUGGACGGCGUUCCCACUGCGAUGUUUAAACAUAAUCGUUACUUACUUUGUUUGGUGCUAUUUAUAAGUUUAACUAAACAAACAACUGCGGUUGUUGUUUCGGGGCAUUACAGUGACAACAACCAAUUGAGUUAUUUAUCGAUCUUUCUUUGUCGCGAUUCGACUUUGACCCUUUUAAAAUCUGGAAUGUUCUGUUCCCACUGUUUAAGAGCCUUCCGCUGUCUUCUUCAGAAUCUUGUUGGUUUGCAUCAGUUCCACUUCCUGUCCGUGUGGGGCUUUGGGAAUCCAAGUUAUUUUGGGAGGGGCGGGGUUUAUGGUGUCAUCUCGCAGAUGCCGCCAGCUGAUUGGUUUGUGAACAAAAUCAACGUCCAUAAAGAGAAAGACGAUGGAAUGAAAAGCAAACUUCGUUUUUUUUGUCAUCACUCCUUUUCGUCUCUUCCAAGAGCCAACAUGUCAGAGAAGAAAAUGUCUUCCAGUCGUAAACAUCACCUCAAGAGUGUGAUCUUGGCCAUCGCUAAAGGUCACCUUGAGCAGGAGUCCCAGGAGCGUGAGGAGGAGCGGAUGCGCUACAUGGCCCAGUGCUGCCCCCCGCUGGUGAUUCCCUACACCAUGCUAGAGCUACAGGAGCUGUGCCGAUCGAUCCACCACAAGGUCGACGUGGUGGACGAGGAGCGCUACGACCUUGAGGUGAAGGUCAACAAGGCCAACAAGGAGAUCGAAGACCUGAAGAUCAAAGUCCAGGACGUGACGGGCAAGUUCAAGAAGCCGACGCUGAAGAAGGUGCGCAUGUCGGCCGACGCCAUGCUCAAAGCGCUGCUGGGCUCCAAGCACACCGUCAACGUGGAGCUCCGGGCUAACCUCAAGCAGGUCAAGAAGGAGGUCAAGGACGAGUCACAUCUUGCUCCUCCUCAUGUUCAUCUUCAUCGCCGUGGUCUUCUCCUGGCUGAGACGGCGUCCAUCAUCCUCUUCACCGUCCUGUCAGGAAGAAGAAAACAAUCUUAAAGAUAAGGCCUUUGUCAAGAAGCCAUCAUGGCCACCGAGAAGCGACUGUCUGCCAGACGCAAGCACACUCUGAAGAGUUGCAUGCUGGUGGUGGCCAACAACCUCCUGGAGGCCGAAGCUGCCGAGAAGGCCGGAGAGCGA